AAAUCAUGUAGCCUCCCUCAACUAUAAAAAUUCCUUAUGUGAUAACAGCUUGAUUUAUUGCUAGAAAAACAAUUUAAAAUUCAAAUUAUAUAUAAUAUGUAAAAUUUUAUAGCUAGAUUUGGCAAUUAGCUUAUUGGCAGAUUAUAAAUUAAUGGUUAAAUUCUUAAGAUCCUUGAAAACUUUGGUAAAUUAUGCAUAUAACCUUUAAUUACCGGCGUAGGAUCGUAACAGUAAGUAUCCUUCUUAAUGAUAACAACAAAAAAAGCAGUUGAAAUAUACUUGAUUGAGGAAUGCAGAAAUCAAAUUACCCCUGACAAGAUAACUGCCAGCUGACUUCCAAGCUGUACAUUCGUGACUGGAAGGUAUAUCGUUCAGUUCCUUCUAACAUAUCUUUGGGUGCCAAAUUCACUGUUUAAUUUGGUAUCAGACACUUUAUCUCGAACGACAUUUGAAGGCUAUAAUUAUCAUAAGGAACUGGUAUAGCACUCAUUAUUCAAAAACCAUAACCUAAUUUUGAUAAAGCAUAUAACCUUCGAAUUUUUUUCUUCUUUUCUUGGACAAUUUUAAAAUAAAUUCAUGCAUGCCAAAAAGGAAAAUUGAUAGGUGGGAGAUUAUUAUUCUACGAAAUUUAAUAUUCUUGAUCUACUAUCCAUUUAUAAUAUAUAGGAAGAAAUGAAUGGCAGGAAAAUUUUCGUUUUGAUCUGCAUCGAUUCACAUAAUUGGUUAGUAUGUCAAAGAAAGUGAAGUUUCUAUUGAUAUGAAUUGUAGCUGACCCCUGAAAGAGGGAGGAUCGCAAAGUUUGUACAUCGUUAUCGAAAGUCAUGACCGAGAAUAAAAACAGGACGGACGUUAUCUACAAUCAAAAUUUUCAGUGAUUGAUCGAUGAUUCUUAUUUUAGAAAUUCAUUAUUAUUGUAGUAAUUUUAUCAAAAUUAAAAAAAAAAUUGCACGAACAAUUUAUUUAUAUUUUAAACACAUUUUUCAGCUCGUUUUUGUUAUUUUUUCUUGCAUUCGUGUAAUAUUUUUAACUCUAAAAUUACGAGAUCUUUUCACGCAAUAAAGUAUUUGGGAAGUUGCAAAAAUCGGAUUAAAAACUUGCACAAUUUAAGUAAGCAAAUUUGCUAUACAGUUUUUUUGUUUACUAAAGAUAAAGGAAAAAUAUCGAAUUAUAUUUUUGCAAUUAUUACAGUUCGUAUCACUCAGAGUUGGCAACAGCAUUAACAGGUGAUACAAAAAUGUUAUCAUUCCGAGAUCAACCUAAAACGUAUUUUUUCCAUUGUUAAAUAUUUGAUAAAAAUCUCGAACGUUACUUAUAUUAUUUUUCUAGAAAGGUCACUAUACUAAUUUAAUCUUUAACAAAAACGAAACAAACCCUCUAAAGACAGAACAAAUAACAUAUAAUUGAAAAGAUGAAUAAAAAUCCUUCAGCUCGACUCUUCGCCAUUUGUUGUCACAAUAGCGUUUAUUAGUACUUCUAAUAAUUGGAUAUCUAAGGACACAGAUGAACUCUUUUCUCUGGCAAGUUUUAAUUCUAUAGACCUGGUUAAGAGGGGGUUAUUGUUCUUGACGCUCUCUGACGUCAAGAGAACAUUUUCACAUCCGGAAAGAUGCAGAAACCAUCUAUAAAUGUGGAUGCUCAUCGAAAGUGAUACGACGAAUAAAAACUUGAAAAACGCUUUUGUGCAACCGCAUUAUGAUCCGUCGAUAAUUAGGUUAAUAUAUUUUAAAAUAAAAACGCCUAGAGCAAUGAUUGCUAACGUAAGACUAUCAUUUUGUAUGUUUGAAAUUAGGGAUGAUCCCAUUUUUACAAUUUGUGUCAAUCGUAAUUAGUCGUUCGUACGUUUUCAUUUAACGAAAAAAAAGGCAUUCAUCUGAUAACGAGCAUCUGAUGUAUGGCAACAUUACAUGUUUGAUAAAACCAUAAAUUUUUUAUCUUGGAAGUGGAGGUGACUUGUUAACCUUACCGACUUGAUUCAGUACUUUAUAAGCGGAUAAAAAAAAAAAAAAAUAAUAAAUAAAUAUAUGCUGUACUUGUAAUGCACCGAAGUUAUGGCUAGACCUUAAUGGCUAAAUAAUAGCAUAUUUGGUAAGGUUGUUUGUCGUGUUUUUAUUCUAAUAUUUCGCAUUGAUAUAUAAUGGUACAAUUACUGUGGGUUGUUAGUUAAAACUGUUUUAAACGCGUAUUUAUAUCUAGUAUAUCAAAUAAACUAUUGCUCAAGGAUAAAAUUUCAUUAUAAUUUAUAAUUAAUUAAUUUACUAAUUUUUAAAAGUCC
rnacentral:lncRNA from 1 species